rnacentral:rRNA from 1 species
UACAGAGGUCUCAAGCGUUGUUCGGAUUCAUUGGGCGUAAAGGGUGUGUAGGUGGCGCCGUAAGUCGGGUGUGAAAUUUCGGAGCUUAACUCCGAAACUGCAUUCGAUACUGCGGUGCUUGAGGACUGGAGAGGAGGCUGGAAUUCAUGGGUGUAGCAGUGAAAUGCGUAGAGAUCAUGAGGAAGACCAGUGGCGAAAGGCGGGGUCUCUGGACAGUUCCUGACACUGAGACACGAAGGCCAGGGGAGCAAACGGGG